rnacentral:tRNA from 1 species
AGUAAGGUCAGCUAAUUAAGCUUUUGGGCCCAUACCCCAAAAAUGUUGGUUAAAACCCCACCCCUACUA